GACGAACGCUGGCGGCGUGCUUAACACAUGCAAGUCGAACGAAGUGGCGAACGGGUGAGUAACGAGUAAUCAACCUGCCCUUCAGGGGGGGACAACAGUUGGAAACGACUGCUAAUACCGCAUACUGAAGGAGGGGAUUGAGUCGGAUUAGCUAGUUGGAGGGUUAACGGCCCACAAAUGAGAUGAUCAGUAUCCGUUCUGAGAGAGUGAACGGCAAUCUUGGGACUGAGACACGGCCCAGAGUCCGACGGGAUGCAGCAGUGGGGAAUCUUCCGCAAUGGACGAAAGUCUGACGGAGCAACGCCGCGUGAGUGAUGACGGCCUUCGGGUUGUAAAGCUCUGUUAAUCGGGACGCGGUACCGGAAUAGAAAGCCACGGCUAACUACGUGCCAGCAGCCGCGGUAAUUC
rnacentral:rRNA from 1 species